rnacentral:rRNA from 1 species
AACGUAGGGGGCGAGCGUUAUCCGGAUUCAUUGGGCGUAAAGAGCUUGUAGGCGGCGUCAUAAGUUGGACGUGAAAACUCCGGGCUUAACUUGGAGAGGCCGUUCAAUACUGUGAGGCUAGAGGGUGUCAGAGGGAAGUAGAAUUCCUGGUGUAGCAGUGAAAUGCGUAGAUAUCAGGAGGAAUACCCGUGGCGAAGGCGGCUUCCUGGGGCACCACUGACGCUGAGAAGCGAAAGCUAGGGGAGCAAACGGG